UGCCUGUUGCUUUCAGGUGCCGAUUUUCGAUGUUCCGUAUCCAUGCACGGGUAGCUAGUCAUUCACUUCGCCACAACUUUAACAUUUGAUGCAGUCACAGACCAGUAGCUUAGUCUACCUUACGUUCGCUUCAACUGAGUUGGACGCAUCUCACCAAAGUCUCGGGGGUUUCCAUUAAUGUAGCAUAGUAAACGUCGGAGAGUAAGGUAGGCCAAAUUGUGCCACUGUUCGGGUUGUCCGCCCGGUCUUAUCAACGGAAAGAGACAAGUUCCGCGGCUCGGAGGUUCUCUUUCACCCUAGUCUCGUGUUAGAUCCUAGUGCUUAAUGAGGUUAACGUCGUAUCGCUAACAACGCAAAUAUGGUUGCUAAACUUUUCUGACGAAAACCGUCAGACUUAUCAGGCUACGCUGUUAACAUGCAUGUACGGAACCUUUUAAAAAACUCAGUUAGGCUACUCCAGUUAUCGACACUCGCGAUGGUUUCCUUGCCAAAGUUGCUAUGAUACAGCUUUGCUAGGUCCACAUCCUAGGCAAAUUGUCUCGCUGGUCAGGCUGUUGUGUAUGGAAGGCCAACAGGGACAAAAGUACUCUUCCUUCUUGGCUGCAGUAGUCGCAGAGAUGCUGUUGGUAUUGUCUGCAGGGCGGUAGGCUACUAAUGUCAUUAACUCAUAAUAGUUCCGAUGCACCUGAAGGCCAUAUCUUAUUUUCAUUAUCUCAUGUCUGGCUGAUCAUUAUUGUCUGUCAUCGUCUGUUACUGUCAUUGGUUAUGUGUCUACAUAAUAUGUAGGCCCAUACAUUCAUUGAUUUAACUAAUGGCAACGUAAUGUAUCAUGGCUGUUUAUUUGCCUGCAUGCUAGGUCCUUUUGAAAACGCUAUGUCUCCUCUCUAACCACUCCAUUCCUCCUUGCAGGUCUUCAGGCUGUAGGGACUAGAACAAGAUCUUUCCUCUAACUCUUCUUUGCCAAAAGAGCAACACCUCUAGCAGGCACAAACUCUCCUUCAGGCCAAUACUGCACUCACCCUUAUACUUUUUCCAAGCACAAUGCACUUUGCUUGUCGUCAUUCGUAAUCUUCCAUUACGUCACGGCAGCCGCAAGCACAGGGAUGGCAUUCCUUCCCAUUUCUUCAUUACUUAACAUCUUAAUAAUCUUUCAAUUUCAGGAGCAGCUCCUCUUCGUUUAAUGUAAAUGCCUCUCUCUUUAAUUUAAGGGUAUGCAUCUGUCGGCAGGGGAGUACUGACCCUCACCGUAACUAUCUACUUCAUGCAGGGAUGCGGGGCUGGUUCACGUAGGCCUAUAGCCAAAACGUUCAUCGAGGGACAGUGCUUUGGUUCAUAUUUAGUCUUACUUCAUCCAGGUCAUGUGAUGUCAACUUAUUUACCUCCUCAUCUAAGCUAUGCGCUAACCCUGUAGCCUACUCUUCAUGUCUUUAUCCCACCACAGUAGGAGCAGCAGCAUUAGUGAACUUACAUUGUUUAAUCAUUAGAUUUUGUAAUUCACUAUCGAAUAUCCAUAUGUCCUCGAAUCUCAAUCACAUAAUUCUCAAUCGUCAUAUAAUAAAAUCAAUCAGCAUUUAUUAGUCUACAUCACCAAUUCACUCUAACUAUUUAAUUUACAAGGUCUGUGAUGCUGGUUCACAUAUUCUAAACACCCACUUACUCUUGGCUCUGGAGCAAUGCUUUGUUACUCAUUUAAUCUUAUUUCACCCAGUCAGCAUGAUGAGGAUUACUCUUCCAUCUCUUGUCUUUAUUUUAGUUAUAUGCUAAACCAUCCUCAGCGACCAUCCAUAAGUGCUAGUGUACUCCAGCUAUGUAUCUGUUGAUUGUAUUUUGUCUUGUCCUGUUGUGUCCUUAGGUCUGCCGCUGGUUAGUUAACCCUGGCUCUCUUUUCACUCCCUAUCAAUUCACUCCUUGAAUGUGUUCCUCAUGGCUUUCUAUGGGUUCAUGCGCUCUGGGGAAUUUUGUUCUGACAGCCAGGUUUUUAACCCUUCUCAGGAUCUGGCUUGCUCAGCCAUCCUCUUCUCCUCCCGCUUCUAUAGUGUAAUUCUGAAACAUUCUAAAAUGGACACCUCAGGUCUUUGUCAUUAUCAGAGAUUCUAAAGUAAAUAACUCUUCUGUCCCUAUACUUCUAUGAUCAACUAUCUUAAACUUCACCCACACACUUCUCCUAAUGCACCUCUCUUUCUUCUACCGACUGGGUUAUCUAUGUCUAAACAAUGGUUCAGAAUCCACUUGUCGACAGCGGUUGGUAGCUGCGGGCUCUCAACCUCCCAAUAUACCGGCCAUUCCUUUCGCAUCGGCGCUGCAACGUCAGCAGCCGCUCUAGGAUUACCUGCAUCCUCAAUCAAGUUGCUCGGAAGAUGGUCUUCGUCGGCUUACGAGUCCUAUAUAAGACCUCAGGAUCAAGCCCUUCUAGAUGCGCAAAUAGCUCUCGCAAGCGUCAAAUAAGGUAAGCUACCUUUCAAAGGUCUGGUGGUGGUUAUUCGGCUCAGCUAAAGCAUUAUUUUAAUUACGAUGGACCCGAGCCACUCUUCUCCAGUCACUACGCACAGCCGGCACUUUAGGCACAGAAUAAAGUGUUAAUACAUUCUAGUCACUACGCACCGCCGCCCUUGGUCUAGCUUCUGCAAGCAAAACCUCGGGUAAUCUCACGUCACAACAGUUAAUUUCUUUUAUCCUAGCAUCACCCCACUUCACUCAUCAUAUACAUACGCAACUCGACUCGGCAGUCGACUCGAAUCGCAAUCAUCAAAUCGCAAUCAUCAAUCGUUAUCGAACCGAACGAUCAUUAAGCACUUUCCACGGGGAUUUGCACCACAUUGCAUUACAUUCUUGCCGUGCAAGAACCGAGCUUACGAAAGCUCUGAGCUUGUGCAAGCUCCUCGACUUCGCUGCAAUCGCUGCAGACCAUGCUGGUAAUUUUCUUCUUUUCACCAGAGAGUGCUCAAGCUUUCUAUCUGUUUCUCUAUACCUUUUCUCUCUGAACUUAUUACCUAUGGACAAUGUCUAUCAUGUUUUCCUGUCUCGUUUAGCUAACGUUACCUAUGCUGCUCAUCUUAUUUUGGGGGGCCUUUCCAAGAGCAAGGUGCAAAAGCAUGGCUCACUCUUUUCAUCUUGCCCUUGGAUCUGCUUUAGCUCCAUUCCGUUGCAGGAUGCGGCUUGCUCACGGAAACAAGUCAUCACAUUUAGGGGUCGUACUUAAAUCGGAUAUAAUCUGUCAUGGACACUACACCGUGCUGUUAUUUGGGUAAGUCAACAUAAUUAAUUCAUUAAUCUAAACCUUGCCGUUUACAUUUCUAUCCUAAUAGUAGGCCUAUACGUUGUGCUAUUUAGCUUUCUUUAACAUGGCUUUACCUCUGCCGGAUGGACAGUAGUCUGUUAAUUUCAUCUGCUGUACAUCUUGUCCUCGCAGCUUCUGUUCACCAUUGAACCGUAACAAAUGGAGUUCACAAACUGUAAUAUUUUGCAUCAACUUGCUUAUCAAUUAAGAGCUAGCUACUCCAUUUGCUUGUCACAAGGCUCACAAGGAUCUAUUGACUGUGUGGUUACUGAGUUCUUGAUUACUAAAGACUCACUCAGCAGUAAUGAGCAUUUCGUAUUCAAUAUACUUCCUCUUGCAAAUGUCUGGUGGUGGUUAUCUAAAUUUAAUCAUAUUACUCAUCUCUUCGUUUCUGGUGCCCGUACUGGCUUGGUCGCGUUUGUGCAGGUCAUAAUCUUUAACUGCAAGCGCUAUUUCUUCUGCACUAACCUGAGCUUCUGCCACUGCAAGCUCAUUGUCCCCCGAGCAUUUGCAACUGCAAGCUCUAUCCCGCUGCACUAACCCUGAGCAUCUGCAACUGCGAGCUCUAUUCUGCUGCACUGACCCUGAGCAUCUGCAACUGCAGGCUCUAUCCCCUGCACUGACCCUGAGCGUUUGUAAUUGCAAGCUCAUCGUCCUGCACGUUGUUAGUUAACCCUUAAGCUAAGCUUCUGCAAGCACUAGUCACUCAAGCAGUCUUGUUCAAAGGGUUGAACAUCUGCAAUCUCAAUUCCCUUCCAUAACUUUAAAUCAAUCAUAGAAUUUGAGUCACAGGUGGUCGAAUCCAUCAUCCUCAUCAAAUCAUCAGUUUAUUUUAUUAAUAGUAUAUUCUUCAUGUGUCUCUGUCUGUCUCGCUUUCUCUGAUUCAUCUCCCGAGCUCAACCGGAUAAUACAACAUGCACUUUUUAAUAUUGUUAUGCUCUAUUUCAGAGAGGAUGACCAUCUAAGCAUUCUGGUGGGUAUCUUUAUUUCUUAUUCUUUGGGGGUAGGCUCCGCCCCUGCCGUCUCAUACCGGCAGGAUCUGAAAGGGUCGGCACACUCGGUGACCUGGACCGAGGACGGGGCCUAUGCCAAAGACUGUCUUAUUGUUGCUUAUGCCUUUUGUACAUCCUUUGAUGGAUUAAAACAUGUGUUAACUUUCAUUGUACCUCCCUGAGUCUUUCUGAUAGAAAUACUUAUACUUAUACUUAUAUUUGUGUAGGCACCGUUAGGCUACUGCAGCAUCUCAUGGUCUACACACCUACUGCCACAUCUCUUCUCUUAUGAGCAGAAGAGUUUUAGAGCCUAUUUGAAAAUUCUGUUUCAUAUGAGUGUAUUUCAUGGAAUUUAUUAUAACUUUGUCAGUGCAACUAUUUAUUCUCCUGACUACCAGCAGUCCAUUACCCAUUAAAAUGUAUUUUUUUAUUUAUCUAUUGAGGUUGUGGUAGUUGACAAUGUCAUGAUGCAUCUCAAAGGUACUGUAUUGUCUGAAUUGUUUAUCUAAAUGUAGAAUGUAGUUUCCUACACUGAGAUUCUGUUACAGGUUGAGACCACUGUGAAAAGAUUUAAAGGUAUCUAUUGCAUUUUUGGACAUUUUUGGCGACUCUAUAGCUCCCCCUAGAGUCUCAAAAUGUUAAUACUUUAAUACCUUUCACGUCUCACAGCUUGAGCCCUUUCCUCUGGACACAGUAUAUGUCUGUCCAUUUGUUUUGGAGCUGAUGGAAUAGAAAAGGCAAAUACAAUCUCCAGAGAACUAUAACUCCUGACCAGUUAUCAGCACGGAGAGGCAGAGGAUGACGAUGACGAGUGUUCCCCUUAUGCAGUGAGCCAGAGAGAGCAGGAACCCAUGUACUCCCUUGUUCAGCUGACUGAGCAGAAAACUGACUGUUCCACCAGCGGGGAUGGAGAACUUGCCUCAAAGGCGUCAGGACACAAGGCCAUCAUGAAGAACAACUCCAUUUAUGAAACCGCGGGUCCAUAGCUUCAAACUGCUGCCAGUGCACUGUGUCAGUGCUCAGUCAGGGCAUGAUGAGGAGACUACUGGAGUUCAAUCAUAAGGCCUACUGGGACUUUUGUGCUGGAUGUGGUCUAAUUUAUUUUAUUUUAUUGUUUUACAAGUAUGUUGUCUAAUUGUUUUUCAGUUAAUUUUAUGUAUGGCUGUAAGUGGGCGUUUUCUCACCUUUCAUUUCAUUGCAUCAGUUUAGGCUUUUGUUAGAUCAUGUGGUUAUCAGUCAUCUGCGUCCUAGUUGCAGUGGUGUUUUAUUUGUUACUUGCUGAUGACGUGAGAUAUAUUGAAAUUUACUCCAGUUAUUGUAGGAAAGUGUCUGACUAACUAUAGUUUUGCAACUAUUAGUGUAAAAGAAAACACAUACAGUACAGUAUAUGUGGUUUGGGGUGAGAUGCAUAAAAACAGCUUCUUUUCAGUUCAAAUGCGGAAGGAGCUCUUGCCCUCUGAGCUUCCUGUUAAAUUUCCCAUGAAAGUUUCUCACACUAGUCUUUCAAAUUCAUUGAAUAUUGGCUAGAAAGGAGAGACAAAGUGGGCGGCUGUUGCACAUCAUUUCUCUUCAAUUAUCUUAUGUUGUUCUGUUGGUGUGAAAUUUAGCCUAUGCUAUAUAAAGAUAUUUAAAGGAAAAAUAUGAACUAAUACCAAUUUUAUAAUGUUUGUGAAGCCAUGUUUACUCUAAAUUAAAUUAGAAUAUCCUUGAUUGCACACUGAAAGAGAUGACCAACAUGCUCCCUCAAAAGCCAAACACAAAUUCAAAAGCACAAUUGUCCUAUUCUGACAUUAUUCCUACUAUUAUUCUGACGCUAUUCUGGAAGCGUAUGUUUUGGAAACCUUUUUGGUGCUAAUUACGCUACAAGUUUUACAGGCACUGGGCCUCGAGACGCAAAGGUGUGAAUGAAGCUCCCUGAGUUGCAGUGACAUUUUUUGACACUGUGCCACUGCUCGGCCUACUCUGGCCACAAGAUGGCAGUGCAAUACAAGAUGACAGUGCAAUAUAUCUCACCACUGUAGACUUUCUGUAAUAUGUCUACUGGAGAAAUUUAAGUUAAACUAUUUAAAAGAAAAGAGGGGCUACUUCAAUACAUUUUGACAGUAAAAUCUGCAUGAGUUAACAGCAGCUGCCACUAAGUUUGUCCUACCUUGGGUUCCUUAUACAUCUUACUGCUCAAGUGAGUAGCUUUCCAUGUAUUUACUUCAUGUAGCCUAAUUUUGAAUCACAGCGCACC